UACGUAGGUGGCAAGCGUUGUCCGGAAUUAUUGGGCGUAAAGCGCGCGCAGGUGGUUCCUUAAGUCUGAUGUGAAAGCCCACGGCUCAACCGUGGAGGGUCAUUGGAAACUGGGGAACUUGAGUGCAGAAGAGGAAAGUGGAAUUCCAAGUGUAGCGGUGAAAUGCGUAGAGAUUUGGAGGAACACCAGUGGCGAAGGCGACUCACUGGCCCGAUACUGACGCUGAGGCACGAAAGCGUGGGGAGCAAACAGG
rnacentral:rRNA from 1 species